CGCUGGCGGCACGCCUAAUACAUGCAAGUCGAACGAAGUAGCAAUACUUAGUGGCAGACGGGUGAGUAACAUGUGGGUAUCUUCCCUUUGGUGAGGAAUAACACGAGGAAACUUGUGCUAAUACCUCAUAAGUCUUUACGGAGAAAGCUUUAUGCGCCGAUGGAUGAGCCCGCAAUUGAUUAGUUUGUUGGUGGGGUAAUAGCCUACCAAGACUAUGAUCAAUAGCUGAUUUGAGAGGAUGAUCAGCCACAUUGGGACUGAGACACGGCCCAAACUCCUACGGGAGGCAGCAGUAGGGAAUCUUGCACAAUGGAGGAAACUCUGAUGCAGCGAUGCCGCGUGAGUGAAGAAGGCCCUUGGGUUGUAAAGCUCUUUCGUCGGGGAAGAAAAUGACUGUACCCGAAUAAGAAGGUCCGGCUAACUUCGUGCCAGCAGCCGCGGUAAUACGAAGGGACCUAGCGUAGUUCGGAAUUACUGGGCUUAAAGAGUUCGUAGGUGGUUAAAAAAGUUGGUGGUGAAAGCCCAGAGCUUAACUCUGGAACGGCCAUCAAAACUUUUUAGCUAGAGUAUGAUAGAGGAAAGCAGAAUUUCUAGUGUAGAGGUGAAAUUCGUAGAUAUUAGAAAGAAUACCGAUUGCGAAGGCAGCUUUCUGGAUCAUUACUGACACUGAGGAACGAAAGCAUGGGUAGCGAAGAGGAUUAGAUACCCUCGUAGUCCAUGCCGUAAACGAUGUGUGUUAGAUGUUGGAAAUUUAUUUUCAGUAUCGCAGCGAAAGCAAUAAACACACCGCCUGGGGAGUACG
rnacentral:rRNA from 1 species